GACGAACCGUACGAACGUUAUUCGGAAUCACUGGGCUUAAAGGGUGCGUAGGCGGUGCGGAAAGUUGGGUGUGAAAUCCCUCGGCUCAACCGAGGAACUGCGCCCAAAACUACCGUGCUCGAGGGAGAUAGAGGUGAGCGGAACUUAGGGUGGAGCGGUGAAAUGCGUUGAUAUCCUAAGGAACACCGGUGGCGAAAGCGGCUCACUGGAUCUCUUCUGACGCUGAGGCACGAAAGCUAGGGUAGCGAACGGG
rnacentral:rRNA from 1 species